CAGUAGCCGCGGUAAUACGUAGGUGGCGGGCGUUGUCCGGAAUUAUUGGGCGUAAAGGGAGCGCAGGCGGACAUAUAAGUCCAUCUUAAAAGUGCGGGGCUCAACCCCGUGAGGGGAUGGAAACUGUAUGCCUUGAGUGCAGGAGAGUAAAGCGGAAUUCCCAGUGUAGCGGUGAAAUGCGUAGAUAUUGGGAGGAACACCAGUGGCGAAGGCGGCUUUCUGGACUGCGACUGACGCUGAGGCUCGAAAGCCAGGGGAGCGAACGGGAUUAGAUACCCCAGUAGUCCCUGUCUCUUAUACC
rnacentral:rRNA from 1 species